rnacentral:rRNA from 1 species
AUUGAACGCUGGCGGCAGGCCUAACACAUGCAAGUCGAGCGGAUGAAGGGAGCUUGCUCCUGGAUUCAGCGGCGGACGGGUGAGUAAUGCCUAGGAAUCUGCCUGGUAGUGGGGGAUAACGUCCGGAAACGGGCGCUAAUACCGCAUACGUCCUGAGGGAGAAAGUGGGGGAUCUUCGGACCUCACGCUAUCAGAUGAGCCUAGGUCGGAUUAGCUAGUUGGUGGGGUAAAGGCCUACCAAGGCGACGAUCCGUAACUGGUCUGAGAGGAUGAUCAGUCACACUGGAACUGAGACACGGUCCAGACUCCUACGGGAGGCAGCAGUGGGGAAUAUUGUACAGUGGGCGAAAGCCUGACCCAGCCAUGCCGCGUGUGUGAAGAAGGUCUUCGGAUUGUAAAGCACUUUAAGUUGGGAGGAAGGGCAGUAAGUUAAUACCUUGCUGUUUUGACGUUACCAACAGAAUAAGCACCGGCUAACUUCGU